CGCCUUGCCAGCCCGCUCAGAAACUCAAAGGAAUUGACGGGGGCCCGCACAAGCGGCGGAGCAUGUGGAUUAAUUCGAUGCAACGCGAAGAACCUUACCUGGGUUUGACAUACACCGGAAAACCGUAGAGAUACGGUCCCCCUUGUGGUCGGUGUACAGGUGGUGCAUGGCUGUCGUCAGCUCGUGUCGUGAGAUGUUGGGUUAAGUCCCGCAACGAGCGCAACCCUUGUCUUAUGUUGCCAGCACGUAAUGGUGGGGACUCGUAAGAGACUGCCGGGGUCAACUCGGAGGAAGGUGGGGACGACGUCAAGUCAUCAUGCCCCUUAUGUCCAGGGCUUCACACAUGCUACAAUGGCCAGUACAGAGGGCUGCGAGACCGUGAGGUGGAGCGAAUCCCUUAAAGCUGGUCUCAGUUCGGAUCGGGGUCUGCAACUCGACCCCGUGAAGUCGGAGUCGCUAGUAAUCGCAGAUCAGCAACGCUGCGGUGAAUACGUUCCCGGGCCUU
rnacentral:rRNA from 1 species